rnacentral:ncRNA from 2 species
GACGUAACUGGGCGUGACGGUUUCCCGAGGAUGACUCCGAGGGAAUUAAUAGGGAACACGGUGAGGACGACCCCAAGAGGGACCGAGACCGUGGCUGCCCCCGCAACUGUAAGCGGAUUGUCGCUCAUAUCGGGAGUGCCGGCGCGCCGGCAUUUCCUGGGGCCUUCGGGCCCGGCCACUGCGAGCUAUCGCGGGAAGGCUGAUGAGCGGCGGAUAUUCGCGAGCCAGGAGACCUGCCGUCAAUCACGAUCCAAU